UACAGAGGCCUCGAGCGUUAGGCGGAAUCACUGGGCUUAAAGCGUGUGUAGGCGGACUUCUAAGUACCUUGUGAAAUCCCACGGCUCACCCGUGGAACUGCUUGGUAUACUGGUUGUCUUGAGCCUUCUAGGGGCGAGUGGAACAAAUGGUGGAGCGGUGAAAUGCGUAGAUAUUCGGUGGAACACCAGUGGCGAAGGCGACUCGCUGGACUGAUACUGACGCUGAGGUGCGAAAGCGUGGGGAGCAAACAGG
rnacentral:rRNA from 1 species